AAAAGCCCAUAUUUCUCAAUGUUUUGGGUGAUCAGAACCAUUUAAAGGCAGCGGGGAGCGUUUUGACAACCCUGCGGUUCACGGCAGACGAGAACUCCGGAGAGAAACCUUGGUUGCGCGAGGGGCGAAGUGGGCGCGACAGGUGGAAUCGGAGGGGCCAGGAAGACGAAACACGGGAUAAUGCAAUGCCUGACCCGUUGAGUUGCCCCAGCAGGUUGUGUAUGCUGCUCAAUAUUCCAAGCAUCCCUCUGGCUUCAUCGUGUGAUUAGAGUGGUAUUAGGGAUGGUUAGUAGUCAACAAGGGCCUCGAACCUGGAAUAUUAACUGUUCCUCCUUUCACCAAUACUGCCUGACUUUCAGACUGAUUCCAGAAUUAUAAGAUAAAGGAUUAGAAUUAGGUUAUUCAGCCCACUAAGUCCGCUCUGCCAUCCAGUCAUGGCCGAUUUAUUACCUCUCUCAACCCCAUUUCCUGCCUUCUCCCUGUAGCAUUUGACACCCUGACUAAUCAAGAACCCAUCAACCUCCAUUUUAAAUACACCCAAUGACUUGGCCUCCACAGCCGUCUGAGGCAAUGAAUUCCACAGAUUUGCCAUCCUCUGGCUAAGUAAAUCUACCCUCAUCUCUGUUCUAAAGGAACAUCCUUCUAUUCUGAUGCUGUGCCCUCUGGUCCUAGACUCCCGUCACUAUAGGAAAUAUUCUCUCCAUGUCCACCCCAACUAGGCCUUUCAAUAUUCAAUAGGUUAAAAUGAGAUCCUCACUCAUUCUUCUGAGCUCCAAGUACAGGCCCACAGCCAUUAAACUCCUCCUACACCCUUUCAUUCCAGGGAUCACUCUUGUGAACCUCCUCCAGACCCUCUAAGUUGCCAGCAGAAUCUUUCUUAAUUAAGUGGCCCAAAUUGGGAGGAGAAGAUGGCGGGGCGCCUGCGUGCGCGCAGCCCUCCAGUGAAAAACGAUACCGUAUCUGUUAAAAAGGGGCCGUGGACAAUUCUGAUUUGAUGGAGAAUGGACGUGAAAGCACACAGGAACAUCUGGAGAAAUUUCUGAAACGCCCGUCUGCUGCUGUCAUUACUGCGUGGUCGGGAAUCUUUCAGAGGGUAGGCCUCAAAAUCCCCGGCCUUGCCUGCUUUUGGCGACCGAGAAGGAGGUCGAAUCGUUUGGACAGAGAUGGCGCUCAGUACUCGGUGUCGGAGAGCUGAUCAGAGCUCGAAGUUUUCAGAUGACUCAGAGUCGGAUUGUGGUCGGCAUGGCAGGGAGAGUUUUUCUUCCCUCUCCCGACUGCGUGAGAUGUGAGACAUUUGAGAAACUUUGAACUUUACUGUGAUCACAGACUUCUUCAUCAAGUUAUGGUAUUGUUGCACUGUUGUAACUAUAUGUUAUAAUUAUGUGGUUUUGUCAGUUUUUUCAGUCUCGGUCUGUCCUGUGUUUUGUGAUAUCACACCGGAGGAAAUAAUGUAUCAUUUCUUAAUGCAUGCAUUACUAAAUGACAAUAAAAGAGGACU